CUCAGGUAUUGGUAUUGGAUUAUGUGCAAGCAGAAGGAGCUCAGGUAUUGGUAUUGGAUUAUGUGCAAGUAGAAGGAGCUCAGGUAUUGGUAUUGGAUUAUGUGCAAGCAGAAGGAGCUCAGGUAUUGGUAUUGGAUUAUGUGCAAGCAGAAGGAGCUCAGGUAUUGGUAUUGGAUUAUGUGCAAGCAGAAGGAGCUCAGGUAUUGGAUUAUGUGCAAGCAGAAGGAGCUCAGGUAUUGGUAUUGGAUUAUGUGCAAGCAGAAGGAGCUCAGGUAUUGGUAUUGGAUUAUGUGCAAGCAGAAGGAGCUCAGGUAUUGGUAUUGGAUUAUGUGCAAGCAGAAGGAGCUCAGGUAUUGGUAUUGGAUUAUGUGCAAGCAGAAGGAGCUCAGGUAUUGGUAUUGGAUUAUGUGCAAGCAGAAGGAGCUCAGGUAUUGGUAUUGGAUUAUGUGCAAGCAGAAGGAGCUCAG